rnacentral:rRNA from 1 species
CCUACGGGAGGCAGCAGUGGGGAAUUUUGGACAAUGGGCGAAAGCCUGAUCCAGCAAUGCCGCGUGAGUGAAGAAGGCCUUCGGGUUGUAAAGCUCUUUUGUCAGGGAAGAAACGGUGAGGGCUAAUAUCCCUUGCUAAUGACGGUACCUGAAGAAUAAGCACCGGCUAACUACGUGCCAGCAGCCGCGGUAAUACGUAGGGUGCAAGCGUUAAUCGGAAUUACUGGGCGUAAAGCGUGCGCAGGCGGUUUUGUAAGUCUGUCGUGAAAUCCCCGGGNUCACGUGGAUGCG